rnacentral:rRNA from 1 species
GGAGGUAGUGACGUGAAAUAACGAUGCGGGACUCUUCCGAGGCCUCGCAAUCGGAAUGAGUUAACUUUAAAUCCUUUCGACGAGGAUCGAUUGGAGGGCAAGUCUGGUGCCAGCAGCCGCGGUAAUUCCAGCUCCAAUAGCGUAUAUUAAAGUUGCUGCGGUUAAAAAGCUCGUAGUUCAAUCUCACGAUUCGAAAGGAGGUAGGUGAGCGCCGUCUUAGUAGUAGUAGUACUACCACUAGGAAACCUCGAAUUCACCUUCUCUCAUUCGUCUCGUUGAUACGGUAGGAGGAGGAGGAGGAGAAGGAGGACUAGUACAGGGAUGUCGAAAGCUCGAAGAAGACGGUACGAGUUGAUUUUCUGACGGUGGUGACGGAGGCUAUCGUUGCUGCUGCUGCUGCUGUUUCUACUGCGGUGGUACGCUAGGGGCAAACGACAGUCGCCGCUGCCGCUUCUAUUUCGUUCAUCGUCGAAUUUAUUCUUCGUUGUUGCUUGGGCUCCUGUAUUAUGUACCUUCCUUCCUUCCUUCCAACAGCGGACGAAAAAGAAAGAAAGAGAAAGAGAGGGCGGAAACGGGGUAUCACGGCGGCGUAACCAAUCACCCGUCCUUUUCGUUGAGAAACAUUGUCCGGCCGGCCAGCGGCGUAGUAGUCAACCCCGGAAUGGGUGGUUUUGUUGUAUUAUUAUUAUAAUAGUACCUCUUCCACCUUCGAUGGUGUUGCUGGCUCUCGCGCGCUCGCGUUCGGUCGGCAACUUCACUUUGACAAAAUUAGAGUGCUCAGAGCGGGCAAGAUCUGAAGCCCGAAUGGAGGUGCAUAGAAUGAUCUAAGAUGACCUCGCGAUCUAAACGUUUGUCGGUUUAUGGGGUCGCGAGGUAAUGAUUAAA